rnacentral:ncRNA from 2 species
UUAAUAGAUAAUCUCCGAGCCAGGAGGACCUAAAGAGCGUAUGAUCGUUCCAUGGUCGCUGGACAGGAUUUUAAUCCUCAGGGUAUCUCCGGAAACGGGUAUGCCUUCACGUUUUUGAAAAGGAGCAGCGCGUCUAAGCCGA